GGGUCAAAUCGGAACUGCAGCUGCUGAACCUACACCACAGCUCACAGCAAUGCCAGAUCCUUAACCCAAUGAGCAAGGCCAGGGAUCAAACCUGUGUCCUCAUCGAUGCUAGUCAGAUUCGUUUCUGCUGAGCCACAUUGGGAACUCCCUACAUUUUUUUUUUUUUAAUAUCACAAGAAUAAAUUCCAGUAAAAUAAAAUAAAAUAAAAAAAAAAGUUAAAGGAGACACUGUGAAAAAUGCCUUAUUAUUGAAAUUAAAUUACAUUUAAGUUUUUAAAAGAGAUACAUUUCCUUACUUAACAGUCCAUCACUGUACCAUUAUGUCACUAAUAAUAUUUACAUAGCCAUGAAACUGACUUGUAAAUAAAUAUGAGGGGAAUCAUAUCUUUUAAAAAUAUUUUUUUAAUUUUUAAAAUUUAAAAAUUUUUUAAAUGCCAAUUUGCCACAUAUGAAUUUCAUUCAUUAAUUGGGUGCUAAGUCUUAUGAAUUUUCUAUCUAGAAACUAUCAUACUAAGUAAAGUUAGACAGCGAAAGACAAACAUCAUACAAUAUCACCUAUAUGUGAAAUCUUUAAACUAAAAAAAAAAAGGAUACAAAUGAACUUAUUUGCAUGACAGAAACAGACUCACAGCUUUGAAAAACACUGUUACCAGAGGGGCCAGGUGGGGAGGUUGGAGGGAUGGACUGGGGGUUUGGGAUUUGGUAUAUCCACGCUGAGGUAAAUGGAAUAAUUGGCCCAAGAGGACCUCCUGUACAGCACAGAGAACUCUACCCAGUAUUCUGUGAUAAUCUAUAUGGGAAAAGAAUCAGAGUGAAUGGUAUGGGUAUAUUUAUGACUGGGUCACUUUGUUGUACAGCAGAAAUUAUCACUGUCUUGUAAAUUAACUAGACUUCAGUAAAAUUAAAAAAAAAUAAAAUCUCUCUGUAUAUCAGGGUUCCCAUUUAUAGAAUAGUUUUUAGAGUAGAACCCCAUUUAUAGAGUACUAAAAUUAGAACCAUUCUCCCAGGAUCAGUUUGCAUAAAUUGAGAUAAUCUGUCUCCUAUACUUUGUAUUUAGCACAGUGUCUCUCACAAAAUAAACCAUAAUUGUUGCUUCUAUUAAAUAGUGUUCAAUAUUUUUCAAUAGAUAGAAUUUAUCUUUAGACAAAGCAACGUACACUAUUAAAAGAUAUAAUAUAGAUUACCAGUGUUAUAAACCUUAAUGAUUACAGAGCAAAAAUAAAUCAGAGGGUGAAGGGAAGUACAGCUAUGCUAUUUUCCUGGUAUUUGAGAAUAAGGAAGCAAUGAAUAACAUCAAUCAAUAAGUAUACCUAAAUGUUAGGUAUCAGAAAAUAAUUUAUAUCCUAUUUUAAGUUGUAAAGGUAACUAAAGAGAGCAACCAUGAAUUACAUAAUUAACAAAAAUUUGGAGGCCGAAGAUAAAAGUUGGGAGUUAACUGGGUGUGUGAUUUAUAUCUUUCAGUUUGCUCAUAUGACUAAGAAUAACAUGAUGUGAAUAUUUAUCAUGCAUUAUACACAGCUCUGAACCUUAUGCAUAUUAAUUUAAUGAAUCCUCACAACAUACUUACAAGGGAUGUACUAUUGUUAUUCCAUUUUAAAAUAACAGAAUGUAGACAUACAAAUCAGGCAUAUUUUUCAAGACCCAAAUCUGCUUCUAGAGGCUGUAUCCCUAUGUUCACUGCCACUAAGAAGAGAUAGCAGGAUAUGAAAUCUCAAAUUGCCAUAUUACAUUUUAAUUGUAUUCAUUAGAAUUAGGCUGGUAAUAAUCAAAUUAAACAAAACCAGACUUUAAGGAGUGGUGAGUUCUAGAGAACAGGCUAUCAUUUGGCAAUUACAGAGAGUAUGUUACAAUCUAUAUAACUUAUUUUUGUAAGGUUAAAUUUUUAUCUUUUAUGAUGGGAAUAUAUUACUUCUAUUAAAAGGAGACUAAACUUUGUGGAUAGUUUUUCAUUGUGGAAAUUGUGAAAAUGUACUUGCUGACACUCUGACUUUUAUCACUAUUCUAUAUUGCCAGUCAUAUUGAUAAUUUCUAAGCUUUCUGUUCUACUUUUCAUAUGCAUGACAAAUAUUUACAGAUGUUAAUUUUUCAUUUAACUUCAUAAGGACACAAAUUAUAAUCAUUUCAUAAUUUUAAAGGCAUUGAAAAUUUAGAGAUAGUAACACAGUGCUUUACAGUAAAUCUAUUGUUCAUAUAUAAUAUAAAUACUUCUCUAUCAGGAAGGAGUUAGUCAAAGGGAUCUUUGUAGGUUGGUUUAAAAACGAACAGCUAAGUCUUCCACAAAACCCCUUGAAAAAUGCCCAAAGCCAAGAUAAAUGAUAAUUCAACUCAACCAAGUGCCGGCCACGUGGACAUGAGGCUGUUGCGCCCACACUGAGUGAUGCCAAGGGCCAAUGCACCUCUUGCCUGAGAUCUACGGACGCAGUUACUACACGUGAACCCUGGCCCUGAGCAUGGCAGAGGACCAACAGCUUUUCUUUAACCAUGAGCCCAGUGCUGGGAAAUGGAUAGUGAAGCCAGGGUCCUGUCAACUCAUGCUGUGGUGGCCUCACUUACCGUACAACUAGACAGGGACCGGACGACCAAAAGUGUCUGACCGCCCAAUGGAACCAGGGCCUCACAGAGCCGCGACCCACGCUUGCUGGCGGUACCCCUACCUUGGCCGCGACUUCCCUGGUCCUGAGACCACUGCUGGAGCCCAUGUCCCCAAGUCCUCAGCAGGAAGAGCCCGAGGGCCAAGUGGGGACUGACUUCAACCACGAGGCCGCCAGCCAAAGGCCGCGCCACCAGGGAACCGGGGAGAACUGGCUUCAGUCUCCCCGGAGGAACCCUGAGACCAAGAAGGGCGGAAGUCUUACCACCUGGACCGCGAGGCUGAGGACCCAAACUUUCACCCGUUCAGAGUUGACGAGAGGCCCAGCUCCCAAAACGGGUCGCGGCCUCAGAACUCACCUGGGAGGUGACAUUCCUGUAGUGCACACGCAGUGGCGAACAAGCAGGGCCAGCAGGAGUCAGUGUACAUCCGGCGCAGCGGCACCUUGGAGCCCCGGCGGUAAGCGUGCUUGCCCGCCUCAGACUGGAAUGAGGACGGGGAUGUGAGCGCUUUCCAGACCCAGCUGUGGUUCUAGCACUGCCUGAGGGGUAUCCGGAGCCCUGUGGGGCUUCUUUCCUGAAGGGGUUGUCGCCCAGAGGGAAUGGUCUACACACCUCGGGUUGGACUCUCAUCUGAAAGACAGGCUUGAAAACUAACGCAGGGGGCUGAGCGGCAGCUGCCAGCCUGUGGUGCGCAUGCGCUACCUCUGGAGCACCACCCCCCGCCCCUCCCCCCAACGCCAUCUACGCACUUCUCCAACCCCCCACCCCUCCAUUUACCCCACCCCUAUUCGCAUGUGACGGCGGGGUUCCAGGAGCCUGGAUGUCCCUGUGCGGCCACAUCUGUGUGGUCUCAUCAAUCAUGGACCAGCUGCAGUGCAGCCAGAAAUACCUGAAUGCGUCAGAGGAAAGGAGGCAAAAGAAGACCCUGUUGCCAAAGAGCAGGUGUGAGGAGCUCCAAGCGAAGCAUCUGAAGGUGGACAAGGUCAUGGAUGGCUUUGAGGGGAGAGUGUACUGAGUGAUGGAGGAAGCUUAGAAACGGAAGGGACUUGACAAAACUCCAGAAAGUUCUGAAAGAAAAGAUCAACUUAUUGAAGAACAAUUUCAGGGAAAAAUCUUUCUUUGACCUCUUAAAGUGGCUUGAGAAACAGGAGGCCAGAGAUGGGAGACCUAGCCCUCCAGAGGAGUCUGAGGAAGGAGCAGGUGCGUCUACUCUGAGGAGAUGACUAAAGAACACGAACUGAUUAGAAUCUGUGAUGACCUCAUUUUCAAGGUGGAAAACAUCUGACAUUUAAAUCCCUCUUCAGGGCCUGCCCUCUUUGUCUGUCAAACUCUGUUACAAAGUUCUGUUACAUGAAAGUGUUCUGGUAUCUUACCCUCAAUUGUUUUUUAAACUAGAUUGCUUCAUAAAGUCUAAAUAAAAUUUCUUUCAGUUUACACACACACACACAAAGCAUGUUGCAAGACUCCCCCAGAUACCAGCUUUGGGGCCACCAAAUGUAAGGCCACCUGGGAAUCUGAACAUCCACCUACUAUUCUUCUGUCCAUGAGAUUUUCAACUAAACACUGCUCCAGCAAGUCUGGUAUAUGCACCAUCCUAUCACUUAACUCUUGGGAAUAAUGAUACAUUCACAUACAGGAAAAAAUAUUCAGAAUAGAAAACAUGAUUUGCAAAGAGACAUGAAAAUACACAACAAUCUAUUUGCAAAGUGGAACCCAUCAAGAGUAAAGGUGUUAACAACCUGGGUCUUCAAGCUCCUUAAUCAGUAGAAAUUGGUAAGGGGCCAGACAAGAAAUUCAGACAGGACUUUACUGAGACUCAUGCUACAACACAAGGGAGCAAAAACAAGAAACAGGUGGCCUUGCUCAUUUUCUGAGGAGGGCAGACUAGUUCUUUUUUAAAUGGGGUGAGGGUAGGGAUGGGGCGGUUUGGUGGGUCAGGCUGGAGCUAUGAUUUAGAAGCAAAACAAUAUAAUUUAUUAUGUAUAAUCUAAAUUAGUCACUGAUGUAAAUUUAUAUAAAUGUCAUAUAUUGGAUA
rnacentral:lncRNA from 1 species